UGGGGAAUCUUGCACAAUGGGGGCAACCCUGAUGCAGCGACGCCGCGUGAGCGAUGAAGCCCUUCGGGGCGUAAAGCUCUUUCGACCGGAACGAUAAUGACGGUACCGGGAGAAGAAGCUGCGGCUAACUACGUGCCAGCAGCCGCGGUAAUACGUAGGCAGCAAGCGUUGUUCGGAGUUACUGGGCGUAAAGAGUGCGUAGGCGGUUUUCUAAGUUCGGUGUGAAAUCUCCCGGCUUAACUGGGAGGGUGCGCCGAAGACUGGGAAGCUGGAGUGUGGGAAAGGCAGGCGGAAUUCCUGGUGUAGCGGUGAAAUGCGUAGAUAUCAGGAGGAACACUGGCGGUGUAGACGGCUUGCUAGACCAUAACUGACGCUGAGGCACGAAAGCGUGGGUAGCAAACA
rnacentral:rRNA from 1 species